rnacentral:rRNA from 1 species
UACGUAGGGUGCAAGCGUUGUCCGGAAUUAUUGGGCGUAAAGAGCUCGUAGGCGGUCUGUUGCGUCGGCUGUGAAAACCCGGGGCUCAACUCCGGGCCUGCAGCCGAUACGGGCAGACUAGAGUCAGGUAGGGGAGAACGGAAUUCCUGGUGUAGCGGUGAAAUGCGCAGAUAUCAGGAGGAACACCGGUGGCGAAGGCGGUUCUCUGGGCCUGUACUGACGCUGAGGAACGAAAGCGUGGGGAGCGAACAGG